AAGAGUACUGUAGUUUCAAAAU
rnacentral:miRNA from 1 species